UACGGAGGGUGCAAGCGUUGUUCGGAAUUAUUGGGCGUAAAGCGCACGUAGGCGGGUUUGUAUGUCGAUUGUGAAAGCCCUGGGCUUAACCUGGGAAUUGCAGUCGAAACUGCAGAUCUUGAAUACCUGAGAGGGUGGGAGAAUUCCUGGUGGAGUAGUGAAAUACGUAGAGAUCAGGAGGAAUACCUGAGGCGAAGGCGCCUACCUGGCAGUGUAUUGACGCUGAGGUGCGAAAGCGUGGGGAGCAAACAGG
rnacentral:rRNA from 1 species